rnacentral:misc_RNA from 1 species
UUUCCGUAGGUGAACCUGCGGAAGGAUCAUUAUUGUAUAACCGAGGUGCGAGGGCUGUCGCUGACCCGAAAGUUCGUGCACGCCCGAGUGCCCUCACACACAUCCAUCUCACCCCUAUAUGCACCACCGCGUGGGUCCCCCUUAGGCCUGUUCGGAGGGGGGCUUACGUUUUCACACAAACUUUGUAUGCAGUGUAGAAUGUAUUUUUUGUUUUUGCGAUCACGCAAUCAAUACAACUUUCAACAACGGAUCUCUUGGCUCUC